UUACACAUGCAGUCGAGCGGUAGCACAGGGGAGCUUGCUCCCUGGGUGACGAGCGGCGGACGGGUGAGUAAUGUCUGGGAAACUGCCUGAUGGAGGGGGAUAACUACUGGAAACGGUAGCUAAUACCGCAUAACGUCGCAAGACCAAAGAGGGGGACCUUCGGGCCUCUUGCCAUCAGAUGUGCCCAGAUGGGAUUAGCUAGUAGGUGGGGUAAUGGCUCACCUAGGCGACGAUCCCUAGCUGGUCUGAGAGGAUGACCAGCCACACUGGAACUGAGACACGGUCCAGACUCCUACGGGAGGCAGCAGUGGGGAAUAUUGCACAAUGGGCGCAAGCCUGAUGCAGCCAUGCCGCGUGUGUGAAGAAGGCCUUCGGGUUGUAAAGCACUUUCAGCGAGGAGGAAGGUGGUGAGCUUAAUACGCUCAUCAAUUGACGUUACUCGCAGAAGAAGCACCGGCUAACUCCGUGCCAGCAGCCGCGGUAAUACGGAGGGUGCAAGCGUUAAUCGGAAUUACUGGGCGUAAAGCGCACGCAGGCGGUUUGUUAAGUCAGAUGUGAAAUCCCCGGGCUCAACCUGGGAACUGCAUUUGAAACUGGCAAGCUAGAGUCUCGUAGAGGGGGGUAGAAUUCCAGGUGUAGCGGUGAAAUGCGUAGAGAUCUGGAGGAAUACCGGUGGCGAAGGCGGCCCCCUGGACGAAGACUGACGCUCAGGUGCGAAAGCGUGAGGAGCAAACAGGAUUAGAUACCCUGGUAGUCCACGCUGUAAACGAUGUCGAUUUGGAGGUUGUG
rnacentral:rRNA from 1 species